rnacentral:rRNA from 1 species
UAGGGAAUCUUCGGCAAUGGACGAAAGUCUGACCGAGCAACGCCGCGUGAGUGAAGAAGGUUUUCGGAUCGUAAAACUCUGUUGUUAGAGAAGAACAAGGACGUUAGUAACUGAACGUCCCCUGACGGUAUCUAACCAGAAAGCCACGGCUAACUACGUGCCAGCAGCCGCGGUAAUACGUAGGUGGCAAGCGUUGUCCGGAUUUAUUGGGCGUAAAGCGAGCGCAGGCGGUUUCUUAAGUCUGGUGUGAAAGCCCCCGGCUCAACCGGGGAGGGUCAUUGGAGACUGGGAGACUUGAGUGCAGGAGAGGAGAGUGUAAUUCCAUGUGUAGCGGUGAAAUGCGUAGAUAUAUGGAGGAACACCAGUGGCGAAGGCGGCUCUCUGGUCUGUAACUGACGCUGAGGCUCGAAAGCGUGGGGAGCAAACAGG